AUUGAACGCUAGCGGGAUGCUUUACACAUGCAAGUCGAGCGAGCGGCGGGCGGGUGCGUAAUGUAUGGGGAUCUGCCCGAUAGCGAGGGAUAACUAAUGGAAACGGUAGCUAAUAACGCAUACUAUCGGAUGAACCCAUAUGGGAUUAGCGAGUAGGUGGGGUAAAGGCGCACCUAGGCGACGAGCCCUAGCUGGUCUGAGAGGAUGACCAGCCCAACUGGAACUGAGACACGGUCCAGACUCCUACGGGAGGCAGCAGUGGGGAAUAUGGCACAAUGGGCGCAAGCCUGAUGCAGACAUGCCGCGUGUAUGAAGAAGGCCUUCGGGUUGUAAAGUACUGUCAGCGGGGAGGCGUUACCCGCAGAAGAAGCACCGGCUAACUCCGUGCCAGCAGCCGCGGUAAUUC
rnacentral:rRNA from 1 species